GGCGGCGUGCUUAACACAUGCAAGUCGUACGAGAACUCUUUAGCUUGCUAAAGAUAGUAAAGUGGCGCACGGGUGAGUAACGCGUGGGUAAUCUACCUCUGAAUCGGGGAUAAACCCGCCGAAAGGCGAGCUAAUACCGGAUAAUAUCUAUAAAAUCAAGGGUUUUUUAAGAUCAAAGGUGGUCUCUACAUGUAAGCUACUGUUUGGAGAUGAGCCCGCGUACCAUUAGCUUGUUGGUAGGGUAAUGGCCUACCAAGGCUGCGAUGGUUAGCUGGUCUGAGAGGAUGAUCAGCCACACUGGAACUGACACACGGUCCAGACUCCUACGGGAGGCAGCAGUGAGGAAUUUUGCGCAAUGGGGGAAAACCCUGACGCAGCAACGCCGCGUGAGUGAUGAAGGCUUUCGGGUCGUAAAGCUCUGUCAAGUGGGAAGAAAAUGCUUGAUGCUAAUACCAUCUUGUACUGACGGUACCACUAAAGGAAGCACCGGCUAACUCCGUG
rnacentral:rRNA from 1 species